rnacentral:rRNA from 1 species
CACGUAGUUAGCCGUGGCUUCCUCCUCUGGUACCGUCAUUAUCGUCCCAGAAGACAGAACUUUACAACCCGAAGGUCUUCAUCAUUCACGCGGCGUUGCUGCGUCAGGGUUUCCCCCAUUGCGCAAUAUUCCCCACUGCUGCCUCCCGUAGGAGUCUGGACCGUGUCUCAGUUCCAAUGUGGCCGAUCACCCUCUCAGGUCGGCUACGCAUCGUCGCCUUGGUGAGCCGUUACUCACCAACUAGCUAAUGCGCCGCGGGUCCAUCUCAAAGUGGAUUUCCGAAGAAAUCCUUUGAUGUUAAGGCCAUGUAACCAAAACAUAUUAUGCGGUAUUAAUCUCCUUUCGGGAGGCUAUUCCCCUCUUUGAGGCAGGUUACCCACGUGUUACUCACCCGUCCGCCGCUAAUUGAUCCCGAAGGAUCGCAUCGCUCGACUUGCAUGUGUUAGGCACGCCGCCAGCGUUCGUCCUGUAGCCAGGAUCGAAAACUCUA